CCCAUUGGCGAGGAUGAACUGGUGAGGUAUAUCCUCACUGGUUUGGAUCAGGAGUACAAUCCUGUCAUGACCGCCAUCCUCGCCCAAUCCGAUGAAACCUCCUUCGCAGAUCUCCUGUCUCAACUCCUCAGCUUCGAGC